GAUGAACGCUGGCGGCGUGCCUAAUACAUGCAAGUCGAGCGAACGGACGAGAAGCUUGCUUCUCUGAUGUUAGCGGCGGACGGGUGAGUAACACGUGGAUAACCUACCUAUAAGACUGGGAUAACUUCGGGAAACCGGAGCUAAUACCGGAUCAUACUUUGAACCGCAUGGUUCAAAAGUGAAUGACGGUCUUGCUGUCACUUAUAGAUGGAUCCGCGCUGCAUUAGCUAGUUGGUAAGGUAACGGCUUACCAAGGCAACGAUGCAUAGCCGACCUGAGAGGGUGAUCGGCCACACUGGAACUGAGACACGGUCCAGACUCCUACGGGAGGCAGCAGUGGGGAAUCUUCCGCAAUGGGCGAAAGCCUGACGGAGCAACGCCGCGUGAGUGAUGAAGGUCUUCGGAUCGUAAAACUCUGUUAUUAGGGAAGAACAUAUGUGUAAGUAACUGUGCACAUCUUGACGGUACCUAAUCAGAAAGCCACGGCUAACUACGUG
rnacentral:rRNA from 1 species